AGGAGCACCCUUCUAAAAUUGAACAGUAGCCUUACAUUUAGGGCUGUAGGCUGCACACCUUGGGUCAAAUAUUAGGUUCUGUAACUGUGUAUUUUAUCGAAAUAAUUCUGUUCUACAAUGGUUCUUUUCCUUUGCUCAGGGUUGUUUUGCCUAUUGAUGGCAGCUGUGGGCAUACAAGUACAACAGACACCUUCUAUAAAUGACCUCAACGCUGAAUGCCUUGGUAACGUUAUUCGUUUGAGUGUCGCUCCUCUUUUUGAAGGGGUUGAUGCUGUCUUCAGUGACUUUGCCUCUUAUGAUUCUCUUGCUCUCCUUUCAUAAUUCAUGACUUGAUAUUGCUUGUCAACUAUUGUUGACUGGCCUUGCUACUCAGUGUGGAUUCAGCUAUAAAAUUUGACCCCAUGGGGAAUGCCAUGUUUUUUGCGUCUCUUCAAAACUGCUUUUCCCAAAACAUGGUAACUCUAAGCACUGUCGUGUUUGCC